CCUCCCUUCCUCCCUCCCUCCCCCUUAUUCCUCUGUCCGCCCCCCCUUCUCUCUCCCACACUCUCUGGUGUUGUCACCCUGGGAACUCCUUCCUCAGCUCUUCGAUCAGCAGUAGGCUUUUCCAAUGGAAGCUUGGAGCAAAGAUCCAGCAGCCUGGGGAAGAAGCCCAGCAGCUUGGGAAACCGGCCCAGUGCGCCCUUCAGAAGCAAUGUGUACCAGCCGACAGAGAUGGCCGUCGUGCUCAAUGGUGGGACUAUCCCAACUGCUCCGCCAUCUCACGCGGGAAGACACCACUGGUGAAAGGCCUUAAGUUCCAGAGAAUAAGAAUCUCUCUUACCGAUUUUAUUCCCUGGCUGUGUCUUUCUUGAGGGUGAAAUCAAUAACCAUGGCAGAGACAGGCCACCUGGAAGCCAGGAAAUCUGAGAAUUCCCACCAAGGGGAUUUCGUGUAAAUGUGACAUAUGGAUGAACUGGAAAGCUAACAGUGACCGCCCUCCCCUCCCCUGCCACACACGCAAACACGGAAUCAUCCUGCAAACUAAAUCAGAGCUAACUGCCAAUAGUCUUAGACUCACUCAGAAGCGUGGCUGGGAAACUGAGUCAUCCAGCAGGGGCAGGACAGAAAAGAAGUCAUAGCUGGUGUGCCAGACUGUGUUGGCUUAUUACACGAGGGGUUGGAGCCGGCCUGCCACCCCUACCCUCCUCACCAAAUGCGGGUCCCCAGGGAGAUCUUUUGGAGAUAACUGUGACCUUGAGGUUAACUCAUGGAUCAGUCUCCCUGGCCUUUGCUUGCCUGGUGGGUGGCCCACGCAGUUCAGGAGACUUUAAGAGGUUGUGGCUAUGAUUCUAAAGGCCCAACAGGGAGCUGUGUAGCUAAUAGGAGUGAAAGAACCAUAGAACGUGCCAAAGAGGAGAAGGUACUCGGACCUUGAAGUGACCAUCACAUGUAGACAGAGGUGACCAACCGUUGUUCCUUCUGUGGCUGNUCCNAGACCAAAGAAAGAACCCCACCCACCCCAACCUCCCCUACAGAGUGACAGAAGUAUCCCUCCUCCUUCUUCCCCUCUCCCUUUCCCUCCUCUUGCAGGUGCUCCUCCAUGCCUCCCCCCACCCCCACCCCCAUCCUGAGUUCAUUCCCAUGCUCAUUUCAGAAGCUCAAACAGGGCCACCAGCUUGAAGCUUCAGGGGAGGCAGGCUGAAAGGCAGGCAGCAGAGCAACCUUUUCGUAAUGAUGUCCUAUGGCUGGGCUCCCCAGGGGUGACCUCUAGGAUGGAGAGAGGACAUAUGGUUGCCUAGCUGCUGGUGACUUCUGGGGUAUUUUCCCUUCGCGUGGGUAGAAGUCCAGGAUAUAAUGAGCUCCGUGGAGGUUUCCUUCUGCUUUUGGAGGGUAUGGAGAAUGUUUUAUUUUUGGUUUCCGAUGGUUCUAUGAAAGUGGCCCCCUUCCCAGUUGUCAUUUGUCAUGGCUUCCAUCUGUCCUGAGCAAGUCAUUCCUUUGUCGCUAGGCAUCUCCAGCAUCCCUGCCAUUAAAGCCCUGUGUUCUCUGCACUGUUUGGCCAGCAUAGUCUCUAGCAACCUUUCCCUGCUAAGGGUUUGAACCUGACCAUAUGGACUGUGUAAACAAGGGUUGCAGCCUCUGCACACACUCUAAUCGCUAUGUUGCUUUCUCUAUAAAAAACUACCCAUAAGCCUUUAACCUUUAAUGAAAGCAAAUUUUUAAAAGGUUAGUGUUUGGGGGUGGGGGUGGGGACUGACCUCCUUUUAAGCCAGUACAUCUGAGCUAAGUGUUUUAAUAAAUCUGAUUUUUCUCAAGGCCCCAGUCUCUGCUGUGUCCCCUCCCUGCCCUAGCCUAUCCUUGCAGAUCCUUAGGGAGGUGAGGCAAAUCUGGCCAGCGCUUGGCUCCCCUGCAAGUUUUCCUUACAGCUAGUGCAUCACCGUGCAUGGGAACCAGAAAGCAUGGCACCCAAAGGCCCCCCUUCCCAACCUCCUGAGAUGCCUCACCCCCAUCCAGAGCAUGUGCUUGCUUCCAGAGAAUUUGAAUCAGUCCUUUGUCCUUAAGGACCAUCAAGUGGUGGGCUAAGAACUUAAAGGCCUGAGGAGGUGGGGAAGGAAAGAAAGCUAGAGCUGCGUGGGGCUGGGGCUGUUGCAUGCACUACCCAGCCUUCUGCAAAGAAAUCUCCAAGCACCUCGGGCCAGUCCGGUGACAAACGUCAGCGCUCCGGUUCUUGUGCCAGGAAGUGGCUGUCCACCCCCGCUCUCUGGAGUCCUUUGGAGCUUUCUGAUGUCACCAGUAACUCGGUCUGCAAAAUCCCCCCUUGCAGAAGGGAGAAGCUGACAUGAUUGAUGGUUUUCUCUCUAAGCUCUUUGUUGUCCACGUAUGAGGUGAGCACCGCACCGUACAAAUGGCUGUGCAGAGAGCAGCAUCUCUGCACUGUAAAACAGAACCACGUUGAGCCACAAGAAACCUCCUUGCUUAGUGAGGCAUUUCAGUUUUGCUUUUUGUUCUUUCCGAUCCUGAUAGGUUAUUGCGCUUCUGGGCUUUGUUUUAUCUCGGCUUUAAGAUUCGGGGUGGGUUGAAUGUUUUUACAUGGAGGGCGGAAGUGGGAGCAAAGGAAUUAGGUCAACGUCUACUAUUAUUUUGAGUUCAAAUUCACCUGAAGAGGACCGAGGACCACGAGGCAACUCCACCCAGAGACUGUGGCAGCCAGCUUCUGACAGAGCAAGGCUGAAAUGCAGAAUCCCAUGGCACCUGUUUAAGUGUUGAUAGACCCAAGACUUGGUUGGGGAAAAUGGUCUAGAAAGUCAUCUGUGAAUAACCCCAAACUGCAAGCACAACUUGGCAUGCCCGGGUACUAAUACCAUAUUGGGACUAUAACCACCGCUCUGUCCCCUCCUGAGUGAAGACUCCAUAGAGGUCUGGAGUCAGUUGCCAAGGUAGCAGGACAAUGGCAGAGGGGAGGGGCUCCAAUGUGUCAGCUGUUUCUAAAGUUAAGAUCUGGUUGUUGUCUGCCCCACCCCCACACAGAGGAGGUCAAGGCCAGGGAACAAGUGCAGGGUGGGGGAAGAGUUGUCUUUUGAAUUUGCCAAAUGGCAAAGUAGAAGGGGGCACUGGCAUUUACACAUCCAAGGAUGUAGCAACUGUGAGCUGAUGAGAGCCCUUGGCAGGUGCUUUAUUCAUUAAGAGCUAUGGCUCGUUUUUGAUAGAUAAUAUAUAUUUAUUAAAUGUAUUAAUGUGUAUUUUAUAAUGUACCCUCACUCUUCCCCUCAUCCUGGCUGACUUGCAUACUUAUAAACAAAAACUGUUUAAGAAAUUUCCAGACAAUCAGUAUGUACAGGGCUGUAUAUAAAAUAUCACAGACUUUAAAGGUUGUUAAGCAUGGGCAGAUAGGUUUUAUUUUCAAAAUGCUGUUCUUAACAAGAAAAUAAAGGCUUUACUAUUUACCUAA
rnacentral:lncRNA from 1 species